UUGGGGAAGGCCUCCUUGUAAAUGGCCCAUAAAAUUUGACAGGAACUAAACCUCCUACUGUUUUUGUGACUGAUAUAAAAGAGAACCAACUUAGUUGGCACCCUUAAUGCAUGUUUUAUGGGAAAAGGAAGACUGUCCCCUGUACGAGCAGUCAGUUCCCGAGCAGGCCGAGCUCAGGCCUGUAAGGAUCUUUUGUGGCCUUUUACGAGGGAAACAGCCGAGCUAAUUUAACAGGAAAUUGACUUUUGCCGUCACCCGCGCGCUCUGGCUGCGGUGACACCGGCUGGCGCUGCCCAGAGACAUCCUGCCAUUAGCAUUUCUCCUUCGUGCAUCGAUUUGCAAAAGCCACAGAGCUCCUGGCACGGUUUGGGGGAAGAGGAAAUGGGACAGUCACGCAGAAGAUGCAGCUGCUUUCAGAUAAACAUUGAGAGGAGAUUGAUCCCUUGCAUCGUCGGCAAUCGCCAGCCUCAGGAAAGCACAGGAGCGGUGAUGAAACUCGAGGACUGGGUGAAAAUAGAGUGGGCUGUGGGUCCAGUCAAACACACAGAAGAUGCACAGCAGGAGGAGAUCUGUGUAAGGGGGAUUAAGUGCAGGACAGGGUCACACAGACUGUGGGCAGGAAUCUGGCUGUCAGUCCAUGCUAUGCAAGCAUCAUCCUCCUCCUGAGGUGUUACUACAGUACCAAAGGAUCAGCCUUGCAAAGAAAAACCCCAACCUCCCGAGACAGACUACAUUCCAGAAUAUAAAUUUCAUCAUCAUGCCAAUA